AUUGAACGCUGGCGGCAUGCUUUACACAUGCAAGUCGAACGGUAACAGGCCGCAAGGUGCUGACGAGUGGCGAACGGGUGCGUAAUGCAUCGGAACGUGCCCAGUCGUGGGGGAUAACUACUCGAAAGAGUAGCUAAUACCGCAUACGAUCUAUGGAUGAAAGCGGGGGACCGUAAGGCCUCGCGCGAUUGGAGCGGCCGAUGUCAGAUUAGGUAGUUGGUGGGGUAAAGGCUCACCAAGCCAACGAUCUGUAGCUGGUCUGAGAGGACGACCAGCCACACUGGGACUGAGACACGGCCCAGACUCCUACGGGAGGCAGCAGUGGGGAAUUUUGGACAAUGGGCGCAAGCCUGAUCCAGCAAUGCCGCGUGCAGGAAGAAGGCCCUCGGGUUGUAAACUGCUUUUGUACGGAACGAAACGGCUCUGGUUAAUACCCGGGGCUAAUGACGGUACCGUAAGAAUAAGCACCGGCUAACUACGUG
rnacentral:rRNA from 1 species